AUAGCGUAUAUUAAAGUUGUUGAGGUUAAAAAGCUCGUAGUUGAACCUUGGGCCUAGCCGGCCGGUCCGCCUCACCGCGUGCACUGGCUCGGUUGGGCCUUUCCUUCUGGAGACCCCCAUGUCCUUCACUGGGUGUGGUGGGGAACCAGGACUUUUACCGUGAACAAAUCAGAUCGCUUAAAGAAGGCCUAUGCUCGAAUGUAUUAGCAUGGAAUAAUGGAAUAGGACGUGUGGUUCUAUUUUAUUGGUUUUGCGGACUGAGGUAAUGGUUAACAGAGACAAACGGGGGCAUUCGUACCGCUGCGUGAGAGGUGAAAUUCUUGGACCGCAGCGAGACGCACGACAG
rnacentral:rRNA from 1 species